GGCUAAUUAGCUCAGUCAGUUGAGUGUGGUGCUGAUAACACCAAGGUCGCAGGUUCAAUCCCUGUUCGGUCC
rnacentral:tRNA from 1 species